rnacentral:rRNA from 1 species
ACCCGCACAAGCGUGGAUGAUGUGGAUUAAUUCGAUGAUACGCGAGGAACCUUACCUGGGCUUAAAUGUAGAGUGCAUGAGGUAGAAAUACUUCUUUUCUUCGGAACUCUCUGCAAGGUGCUGCAUGGUUGUCGUCAGCUCGUGCCGUGAGGUGUCGGGUUAAGUCCCAUAACGAGCGCAACCCUUAUCGUUAGUUGCCAGCGGGUAAUGCCGGGGACUCUAGCGAAACUGCCGGUGUAAACCGAGAGGAAGGUGGGGAUGACGUCAAAUCAGCACGGCCCUUAUGUCCAGGGCUACACACGUGUUACAAUGGCCGGUACAGAGGGCAGCUACCUGGAGACAGGAUGCGAAUCUCGAAAGCCGGUCUCAGUUCGGAUCGGAGUCUGCAACUCGACUCCGUGAAGCUGGAUUCGCUAGUAAUCGCGCAUCAGCCAUGGCGCGGUGAAUACGUUCCCGGGCCUU